AACGAACGCUGGCGGCAUGCCUAACACAUGCAAGUCGAACGAGACCUUCGGGUCUAGUGGCGCACGGGUGCGUAACGCGUGGGAAUCUGCCCUUAGGUACGGAAUCACUCAGGGAAACUUGAGCUAAUACCGUAUAAUGACUUCGGUCCAAAGAUUUAUCGCCUGAGGAGGAGCCCGCGUCGGAUUAGCUAGUUGGUGAGGUAAAGGCUCACCAGGGCGACGAUCCGUAGCUGGUCUGGGAGGAUGAUCGGCCACACUGGGACUGAGACACGGCCCAGACUCCUACGGGAGGCAGCAGUGGGGAAUAUUGGACAAUGGGGGAAACCCGGAUCCAGCAAUGCCGCGUGAGUGAUGAAGGCCUUAGGGUUGUAAAGCUCUUUUGCCCGGGAUGAUAAUGACAGUACCGGGAGAAUAAGCCCCGGCUAACUCCGUGCCAGCCGCCGCCGUAACAC
rnacentral:rRNA from 1 species